rnacentral:piRNA from 1 species
GGUCAUUUUAUGGUAGCUUGAAAGAAA